GAUGAAGAACGUAGCGAAAUGCGAUACUUGGUGUGAAUUGCAGAAUCCCGUGAACCAUCGAGUCUUUGAACGCAAGUUGCGCCCGAAGCCAUCAGGUUGAGGGCACGUCUGCCUGGGCGUCACAUAUCGUUGCCCAAUGCCUAUUGCAGUGCAAUAGGAAUUUCUAGGGCGAAUGAUGGCUUCCCGUGAGCGUUGUUGCCUCGCGGUUGGUUAAAAUCGAGUCCUUGGUAGGGUGUGCCAUGGUAGAUGGUGGUCGAGUUAGAACGAUACCGAUCAUGUGCAUGCUCCCCAAAAUAUGGCCUCUAUGACCCACACGCGUCUUUUGACGCUCAUGACGAGACCUCAGGUCAGGCGGGGCUACCCGCUGAAUUUAAGCAUAUCAAUAAGCGGAGGA
rnacentral:misc_RNA from 1 species